rnacentral:rRNA from 1 species
UACAGAGGGUGCAAGCGUUAAUCGGAAUUACUGGGCGUAAAGCGAGCGUAGUCGGUUAUUUAAGUCGGGUGUGAAAGCCCCGGGCUCAAGCCUGGGAAUUGCAUUCGAUACUGAAUAGCUAGAGUUCGGCAGAGGGAAGCGGAAUUUCCGGUGUAGCGGUGAAAUGCGUAGAUAUCGGAAGGAACAUCAGUGGCGAAAGCGGCUUCCUGGACCA